GAGGAAAUCAAAUCACAACACAAAGUGCCAGGGCAUCGUUAUAAAUUAACAAAAUGCAUCUAUUGGGCUCAGCACACCGGGCGCUCAGAAGGAUCAGGGGACUUUCCGGUGGAGGAAGCUCACCACACCAUUUCUGCAACAAAGAAAUAACUUUGCCACCAUGUUUUCCUGGAUAGGAUCCUAUGUCUCAUAUUUAUUUAAAGAAAUAUAUACAGGGUGGGGGAGCAUUGCCAGACUGGCUCUGUCAGAAGAUUGUGCUAACUCUUGGUCUCAGGGUCAUGAGUUCAAGCCCCAGGUUGGGUGUGGAGCUUACCUUAAAAAAAAAAAAAAAUUGUUUCUUGGGUUCCCGCCUCUAACCUGUCCUUCCUGCUGCCCCCUUGCUGGAACACAUAGGCACCUCUGGGG